rnacentral:rRNA from 1 species
CCUACGGGUGGCAGCAGUGAGGAAUAUUGGUCAAUGGACGCAAGGCUGAACCAGCCAAGUCGCGUGAAGGAAGAAGGAUCUAUGAGUUGUAAACUGCUUUUAUAGGAGGGUAAACGUAGACACGCGUAGAUAUCUGAAUGUAUCCUACGAAUAAGGAUCGGCUAACUCCGUGCCAGCAGCCGCGGUAAUACGGAGGAUGCGAGCGUUAUCCGGAUUUAUUGGGUUUAAAGGGUGCGUAGGUGGUGUUUUAAGUCAGAGGUGAAAGUCCGUGGCUCAACCUUAGAAUUGCCAUUGAUACUGGUCGGCUUGAGUGUGUUUGCGGUAGGCGGAAUGCAUGGUGUAGCGGUGAAAUGCUUAGAGAUCACGCAGAACUCCGAUUGCGAAGGCAGCUUACCAAGCUAUAUCUGACAUUGAGGCACGAAAGCGUGGGGAUCAAACAGGAUUAGAUACCCCAGUAGUC